rnacentral:rRNA from 1 species
GACGAACGCUGGCGGCGCGCCUAACACAUGCAAGUCGAACGAGCGAGCGAGAGCUUGCUUUCUCGAGCGAGUGGCGAACGGGUGAGUAACGCGUGAGGAACCUGCCUCAAAGAGGGGGACAACAGUUGGAAACGACUGCUAAUACCGCAUAAGCCCACGGCUCGGCAUCGAGCAGGGGGAAAAGGAGCAAUCCGCUUUGAGAUGGCCUCGCGUCCGAUUAGCUAGUUGGUGAGGUAACGGCCCAUCAAGGCGACGAUCGGUAGCCGGACUGAGAGGUUGAACGGCCACAUUGGGACUGAGACACGGCCCAGACUCCUACGGGAGGCAGCAGUGGGGAAUAUUGCACAAUGGGGGAAACCCUGAUGCAGCGACGCCGCGUGGAGGAAGAAGGUCUUCGGAUUGUAAACUCCUGUUGUUGGGGAAGAUAAUGACGGUACCCAACAAGGAAGUGACGGCUAACUACGUG